GUCAGUCAAAGUGUCAGCAGUCAGUUUUUGAUUGAGCUGCAGAUUUUUAUAUCUUCAUUUGUGUUACUUAUUACCAGUUUUAACCAUCACGAGUCAGUGAGACAAGAGAGAGGCGGACAGACAGUUGUAAAAGCCCAAACCACAUUUGGGUUUUAAAAGUCUUAAUCCAAUCUACAGGGAAUUGUGUAACCCUACAGUUCUUCAUCAUGAACAUUUUCGUAGUAACACUAUUAUUAAAUUGAAUACAAUAUUAUUGAAAGAAACUGUUUUGAAGUUUUAGAUACUGACCAUAAUGAAAUUAGAUAUUGAACCCAACCAGAAAAACACUAUAUUACAUCCAAAUAAAUGUAUAACAAACUUUUUUGUUGAAGACACGUGUGUUAACGCUUCAAGAUUAAUAAAGUACUUAAAAACGAGACUUGUGAACACACUUAAACAAUGAAUUUAACAUGGUACAUAUUGAAAGUAUCUAUUACAUGAAUUGUUUUUACUUGUUAAACAAAUAACUGACAACAUGAUAAAACAACUACAAUCGCUUCAUUAUUGGAUGCGAUAUAGAUUCGAAAUGAGCGUCUGUCCGUCUGUCCGUCGAUCAUUAUAUUAGUUUUCCUACACAUUCAAUGUAAAACAUUCCAAUUUCCAUACAUAGUUACCUAUGAUGUAAACUUAUGCAUGUGAUAUUCUUUACCGAUCAAUUUGUGAUUAGUUGGAGAUUUCUCAAUGUCAUCACAUCCCAAAGAAGAGAACAUUAAUUUGUAGUGUAAAAAUAUGUUUGAACUGCACCGCUGUGGGAGAUGUUGUGUAAUCGCCUAGAUGAUUUAGAAUAUUUUCGAAGACAUCGGCGUUUGCACGUAAUGCUUGAGAUAGUUCUGUGUGAAUGCCAAAGAAACACGGUGGGAUCUUCUAGAAAACCACGAACGCAUCACGAGAAACGCUGAAGUCGUGGGAUUCUUAUUGGUCAUUUGCACUGAGGUCAUGGGGUAAAGGAGUCUGUAACCAGGCACGGCUCUGCUUCAUUGCACUUGGUUGUGAUAUGAAUGCAUCCAAAUGGUGAUAUGCCUAUUAUAGAUGCGGUUUGUCGAUAGUGAGGGAGAUAUACGAUUGUUUUCCUUAUAUUGCCUCUCAACUACUGGGUCGCCUAUUUAUUACGACAGAAUGCUUGACUACACAAUCGAGGAUCUUGAUCGGGGUUUACUGGCUUAAGUAUGUGCACUUUUGUAUGCAAAACCACAAUGCGUUCCGUAAGAAUGUCUUUAAAUCUGUUUGACGUUGUAAUGACGUUGUACGAACGUGAUGAAGGUGCAGGAACACCAACAUUUGUAAAAAUUUGACACUUUGACAUUACUUCACUGCAAUCACAUGGCAUUCUUACACAUUUUUAGAACCCACUCGAACAAUUGUCGAAUUGCAUAUUCACAAUCAGCGACCUUUGAAUAUUUGAGUAUUUCAGCAGUAUAUAAUAUAAUGUUGCUACAAAAUUGUGGAAAAUGAUUUAUGUGUAGUACUGAAUAAAGAUAAUGCAUACAAUUUUAAUUGUGUAAACCCCAACAGGCAUGACUGAUAACUACCUCUCCUUGAUUAUUAGGUGCAAGUUCACUUUUCAGGUAUACUGGAUUAUGAAAGACUAAUAAGCAUCAACUUGACAACUCAUCUCCCCCAUGAUAUGUGUGGCUCAUUCUCAGGACAAUCCACAGUCAGUGAGAAAACUACAGCGUAAAAAGACCACUGGAUUGCGACAAUUCCGACUGACCACGCAAAUGUUAUAAUUUAAUAUUAAGAAGACUUCAGUUAUAUAUACAUUUAUAUCAAUUAUUACAUUAACGAACAAAGUUAAUAAUACAAAAGUUGAUUUUCCCAAUUUUGACUGUUACAAUUUGUUACUGUUAUGAGCUUCUCAGUCUACCUUGUCUGAAACUAAAAGUGCUAAAUGAUGUAAGAGAAACAUUCAUAUUUUUAUUACUUGUUGUACAAGUAUAUACACAUUUAUUGUAAUCUUCAUAUCAAUGGUCAAUCAAUUUAGGUUUAACUAAUAUAUCUAUGCUUUGCUUUGAGGUUUUCCAUUGGAUCCAAAUUAAUAUAACAUUAGCUUAAUAACUAUUACAGCAGUAUCCCUUGCUUUUCAGCAAGUACUUUAGAAAUCAGGGAUUAUUGUUUUAUUGAGUUAGCCUAAAUCUUUAUAUAAUUAAUGAUAAAACAGUAAUUUACAUGUGUAUAAUUCAUUUGAAGAUGCAUCAAGAUUAUAAAGAUAAAUGUAUAAAUAAAGAAUCAAUAACAAUAAUAAACUGUGCAAUGUUUUAGGUAUUAUGUGAAAGGAUAUGAAGUACUUUUGUGUUUUUGAACAAUGAUCUCUGUGAAUUUGAAUUAAUAUAUCAAACUUUGAAUGGACAUCUUUUGGUGAUAUCCUCGAACUGUUAAUUUCAUAUUCAGAAUGUAUCUUUUAGUACAGAGAGCACUUUUCCAUAACUGUUUUAUUUAAAGCAAUUGCAAUAUUGUCAUUUUGACUGCAUUUAUAAACUGUGUUCAUGCAAGCAUGGACACGUUGAAUGCUCAUAUUCUGAGUAUUUGAAAAAUCUAAUUAAACAUUUAGUUCUGGUGUAAAAUCAGUGUUUAUAUACAAGUGUCUAUAACACUCAUAAAUUAAAACAGAAUAUUAUACAUUAUUGAAAAUAUUAUUCCAAGAUUGAUGUCUUAUUCCGACUUUUCAUAUUGUAGUUAAUUGAACAUUGUAUUGAACUGUAUUGGAAGCUAUAUUUUUGAAGUAACAGCACUACAUCAUGCAUUAUUUCUACCACAAGUAGACCACAAAGUGCCUACUGCUCUUAAAUAGGAACUGGUAUGCAUAUAACACGGUUUUUUGUUACUACACUUAAAGUAAUAAAAUACUAAAGUGAUACAGAAAUGAUCUUGUCAACACUAUUUUUAACAAUAAUACCCUUUUAUAUAAAUUUUCUUUUGAAAUAUGACGCUUAUGACAUUUGCACUUCCAAUAUGAGAUAUAAUUUGUGCGGAUAUGUUUAUUUCAAUGCACUAUAUUAUUUGUAUGAAACAUGUGCUUGCUUUACAAAAUAUCUGCCACUACUGAUUUGUUGUAUGAAAAAUACCCGUACAAUUCCAUUGAAAGAUCAAGAGAUGAAAAGCAAUAUGCUGCACCCUGCUCCUUGUAUGUGACUUGGUGGUAAUUAUUACCAAAUUUUGUAUGGCGAUAGGCAAAUUUUCAGAUUUGCAUAAUAAGUCUAAACUAUGAUCCCAGAGU